rnacentral:rRNA from 1 species
GAUGAACGCUAGCGGCAGGCCUAAUACAUGCAAGUCGAACGGUGUCUUCGGACAUAGUGGCGCACGGGUGCGUAACACGUAUGCAACCUACCUUACAUUGGGGGAUAGCCUUUCGAAAGGGAGAUUAAUACCGCAUAAGACAGUAGCUGGGCAUCCAGCAGCUGUUAAAGAUUUAUCGAUGUAAGCUGGGCAUGCGUCCAAUUAGCUAGUUGGUGAGGUAACGGCUCACCAAGGCAAUGAUUGGUAGGGGAGCUGAGAGGUCAAUCCCCCACCCUGGCACUGGGAUACGGACCAGACGCCACCGGGAGGCAGCAGUAGGGAAUAUUGGGCAAUGGACGCAAGUCUGACCCAGCCAUGCCGCGUGCAGGAUGAAGGCGUUAUGCGUUGUAAACUGCUUUUAUACAGGAAGAAACGACUCUUGCGAGAGGCAUUGACGGUACUGUAUGAAUAAGCACCGGCUAACUCCGUGCCAGCCGCCGCAGUAACAC